rnacentral:rRNA from 1 species
CCUACGGGAGGCAGCAGUGGGGAAUAGUGCGCAAUGGGCGAAAGCCUGACGCAGCGACGCCGCGUGAGGGAUGAAGGUCUUCGGAUCGUAAACCUCUGUCAGCAGGGAAGAACGGUCACUGUGCUAAUCAGCAGUGAAUUGACGGUACCGGCAAAGGAAGCACCGGCUCACUCCGUGCCAGCAGCCGCGGUAAUACGGAGGGUGCGAGCGUUAAUCGGAAUUACUGGGCGGAAAGCGCUCGUAGGCGGUAUGUCAAGUCAAGGGUGAACUCCCCGCGCUCAACGUGGGAACUGCCUUUGAAACUGGCAAACUGUAGUGUGUGAGAGGAUAGUGUAAUUCCAGGUGUAGCAG